GCGGAGGGAUCAUUACACAAAUAUGAAGGCGGGCUGGAACCUCUCGGGGUUACAGCCUUGCUGAAUUAUUCACCCUUGUCUUUUGCGUACUUCUUGUUUCCUUGGUGGGUUCGCCCACCACUAGGACAAACAUAAACCUUUUGUAAUUGCAAUCAGCGUCAGUAACAAAUUAAUAAUUACAACUUUCAACAACGGAUCUCUUGGUUCUGGCAUCGAUGAAGAACGCAGCGAAAUGCGAUAAGUAGUGUGAAUUGCAGAAUUCAGUGAAUCAUCGAAUCUUUGAACGCACAUUGCGCCCUUUGGUAUUCCAAAGGGCAUGCCUGUUCGAGCGUCAUUUGUACCCUCAAGCUUUGCUUGGUGUUGGGCGUCUUGUCUCUAGCUUUGCUGGAGACUCGCCUUAAAGUAAUUGGCAGCCGGCCUACUGGUUUCGGAGCGCAGCACAAGUCGCACUCUCUAUCAGCAAAGGUCUAGCAUCCACUAAGCCUUUUUUUCAACUUUUGACCUCGGAUCAGGUAGGGAUACCCGCUGAACUUAAGCAUA
rnacentral:rRNA from 1 species